AGUUCAAGAAAAUAUUUUUAAAUUUAUAUUACUUUUAUUUACUGACUUAUGUGGGGGUUGGAGACACAGGUGUACCACGUAGAGUCGGAGGACAACUUGCAAGACUAGGUUCUCUCCCUCUAUCACGUGAGGCCAGGGAAUCAAACUCACGGUGUUAGACGCGGCAGCAAGUGUUUUCCUCCCCGACCCAUCUUCUAGCCCAAGAGAGCAAGCUCAGUUUCCGCCAAAGCGCAGCUCAGUUACCAACGUCAACACCCUAUGGCCUAUUUAAAUCAGAUAGCCAAAUAAACUAAUGAGCAAGGUGCUGCCUGUGAAGAGUCCAUCUGGCAUGCAGUUGUGGAAUCUGGACCACCAGGGAACAGUCCAGAAGAGUCCAGGAAGAGCCGCCUCCCUCCCAAGAUGUCACGUUCUGUGUGAAAUUCAUGUGGAGGAAACCUGUUGAGACUGUUAGUGGGUCUCGUACGCUAGAAGUGACUUCUCAACUUCACACACACACACACGCACAUGCACACACACAUUCGCUUCCCUGGCCUGACGACGUGAGCCCAAGCCACACUCGUUGUGGCCUGGAUGAUUUAGGCCAGGGUGAGUGGAGACCGACCUAAUUAGACUCCCGGUGUAAUUACACAGGCAGUGUCCGGCAGCAGUGCCCGUCUGUUAAUUAACUUCUGUGCUGAAUAGGCAGUCGCACCUAAACAAAGAGCAAUUCACGGAGGAAGUGUCCAGUCUUUGUUCUGCCUUUAGCAUUUCUUUGGCCAAAGUCGUCUUUCCUGUUCCCUGUUUUAUGUAGUGGAGACUUGAGAGGUAAGGCCAGCUGUUUACAGGAAAAGUUCACACUUUCUCUGCCUGCCCCACCCCCACCCCCAUCAUUUUGGUAUGUUCUUUUGUCCUGUUAGAUUUGUGCUUAUUUAUGCAUGACUGUCACACUUGUGGCUCUCUUGGUCAUUCUUCUCUGCCACGCCCUUCUGUUCUCCAUCUGGGAAGAGAGGGAACCUGAUUGAAACUUGGGUUCACCUGUCAUCCCAUCGACUUCUGUGUGCCCCAGGCUGCCUCCAGUGACCUGUUUCUGGCUGCCAGUGGCAGAAUGGGAAAGGCAAGAGUGUUCAAAGCCAUCAGUGAAGUGCAGUGUGGAGAGCGUGUGUUACUCUCCCAGCGCUCCCCUGCUUCCCAAGAUGGAAAAGCCCUGUUUUUAGGUUCCACUUCCCUCACACUCUUUCCGUGUCGGCUUCCUCCCAUUUUAUUUCCCUGCUAAUGUGGCAGAGUAGGACCACCUGGCUCAAGGUGGGAAAAUGAGUGGUAUCAUUCUAGAAUUCUCUCUGUCAGCACAUGAGAUUCUUAGAGAAUCUUGCAUUCUAUAAGGACUUACCAGAUAAGGACUUGCCAGAAGCACUAAGACCUGAUCAAUCGCAUGCCGUUUUCAUCAUCAAGACUUCUCAUCAGCUUCGAGAAUAAAAGAAUAAAUGAUUCCAUUUUACUGCCCAGCACUAACAAUUGGCUGUCUAGUGGAGCUCAGUCUCCAUUGUUUACUUAUUUUUCCCCCCUUACAUCAUCCUUUAUCAUAAGGAUUCUCUAGCUUCCUAAUGCUGGAGCCCUUUUAUAUAGUUCCAACCAUAAAAUUAUUCUGUUGCUACUUCAUAACUGUAAUUUUGCUACUGUUAUGAAUCCUAAUGUAACUAUCUGACAUGCAGGAUAUCUGAUAUGCGACCCCUGUGAUAAGAGGAGUUUGACUCCCCCCACCCCUGCCCCCAAGGGUCAGGACCCACAGGUUGAGGACCACGGCUUUGCUGUUAGCACUACAGCAAUUGAUAUUGACCAAGCACCUAGCUCUGUACAGUUGCUUUCUAACAUCAAGAAUACAGACAAACUAAGACAUAAGCCUUGUCCCUGAAGAGUUUGCCAUCAGCCUAGG
rnacentral:lncRNA from 1 species